rnacentral:rRNA from 1 species
GACGAACGCUGGCGGCGUGCUUAACACAUGCAAGUCGUACGAUGACCCGGCUCUUCGGAGCUGGUGAUUAGUGGCGAACGGGUGAGUAACACGUGGGUGACCUGCCCUGCACUCUGGGAUAAGCCCGGGAAACUGGGUCUAAUACUGGAUACGACCAGUGGCCGCAUGGUCUGCUGGUGGAAAGCCCUUCGGGGUGGUGUGGGAUGGGCCCGCGGCCUAUCAGCUUGUUGGUGGGGUGAUGGCCUACCAAGGCGACGACGGGUAGCCGGCCUGAGAGGGUGGCCGGCCACACUGGGACUGAGACACGGCCCAGACUCCUACGGGAGGCAGCAGUGGGGAAUCUUGCGCAAUGGGCGAAAGCCUGAUGCAGCGACGCCGCGUGAGGGAUGACGGCCUUCGGGUUGUAAACCUCUUUCGGCAGGGAACAAGCCUGGGGGUUUUCUUCUGGGUGAGGGUACCUGCGGAAGAAGCACCGGCUAACUACGUG